UCGUCUGAUAAUGCUGACGUACCGGCGUUCGCGGAAGAAACGUGUCUGUGUUAUUUUAAUUAUAGAAUACAAAUAAUUAUGGGAUAAUAAAGUGAUCAGCCUAAAUUAACUAAACAUCAUGCCAAUGAUCCGGAAGCUUCUAUUAAAACUGUGUACAGGGGGAAAAGCCGGCGAACAGUAGGCCUACAUGUCACCGAGAAGUGGGGCAGUAGGCAAAAGCUUGGAACGCAAUCACAAGAACUUGCAGAAGUUCAGAUUGAGAAUGAGAAACCAGAAACAAACUUAAUUGCUAACUGUACUACAAAAAGCAGUUCAGUAUCAGACGUAGAUACUUCGGUUACAUUUGAUGAAAAUAUAAGAUACGAUACUGAAAAGGCCAAACGUCUUGAAGAAUGGAAAAGUAUAUCUCCAGAAAUUAUGUCUGCUUAUGUACAAAUGCAGACACCCAAUAAGCGACAAUGUGCUGAUUGUUGUCUCUCCACAGAUGAACUGUACAGGUGUUGUGAUUGCUGUUCAUGGGAGACUACGUGCCUCACAUGCUUGCGGUUGAGGCAUAAACAUCCUCAUCUGCAUUUGUAAGAACAUGGCUUACCUUUCUUUCAUUGAUGAUGAUGAGGCUUGGAAAUUGAAUGACCAUUCCUGUAGCACUACUUACCUGAAAAAACUCGUGGUCGUGGAUGAUAAAGGUCGACAGCAUUUGAAGACCCUGCAAUUUUGCAAGUGUGAAGUUGAAGCUGUACGCUUGAUUAGGUUCAACCUGUGGCCAUCUUCAACCAAAUUUCCAAACGUGGCAUUUCACUUUGACUUCAUGCGCUGGUUAUGUGGUCUUCUUCUUGAAAGCUCGGUGUCAUUUAAAAGUUUCUGCUCCGCAUUAGACGCGUGGACAUCAAAGCACAUGAAGACAUAUAUUCAUCACCCUGUCAAAGAUUUGUACAAAGUGCUUGUAGGAGGAACAGCCGAUGAAUUUCGACAUUUUAUCUACCAAAUGGAAAACAUCCACGAUGAUGGAUCCAAAUGUCCAGCUUGUUAUGAGGAUCCUCCCUCCCUGAUAAGCUUGCUAGAGCAGAGGAUAUAGAAAAAAAAAGCAAGGAGGCUCUUCAAGAAAUUUUGGAACCUUUUGCAGGUAAGAAAACAUGGACAAAUGCAGAUUUUCUACAAGUGUUUGUGUCAUUAUAUAAAAAUACCAUCCCAUAUUUGUUUUGCAGUUUCCAGUGUUUAAUUAAAUGAUGCACAUGUCAAUACCAGUUGUGAGAUGAACACCUUUAAUUGCUGGCUUGACAGAAUUCGACUGAUUGCCAUCUCAGAAAAUAUUGUCCCAAUAUUAAAAAAAACAAAAUGUUUGUGCAUAACAAUAUAGAAUUGAAAGACUUUAUGUUAAAUCAGAAGAAACAAAACUAUAAAUGUCCCGAUAACAAAAUGAACCAUUUAAAUAAUGUAGAUGAAUUUAAAAUAAUUAUUGUUUUUCUCUGUGUAAGUUUUCUCCCCACAAAUUUUGUUAGUGGAGCCCAAAUUAGGUCAUCCCGCUAGGAAAUUUCGCAGCGAGUAAAGUCGAGAUAUAUAUAGAGCGAAUAUAACUAUGAAAUAAACGCCAGUAUCUUUCUUGCUGGGGGGGGGGACUUAUUGUUUGCGCUCCGUGUGUCAGUCUGUCUGCGUGUGUCAGUCUGUCUGUCAGUCCGUCACACUUUUCUGGAUCCUGCGAUAACUUCAAAGUUCUUCAUAUUUUUUUAUGAAACUUGAAACGUGGACAGAUGGCUUAUAUGGAGAUUAUGCACGUCAAUUCAUUUUGUUCCUAUGUCAAAAAUUGUGGUUGCUAUGGCAACAAAUGUAAAAAAAAAAUUAAAAAAAAUUACUGACUGGUGGAGUUUUACCGGUAGGGGACCAUAUUGCUUGGCAAUCUCUUGUUCCAUAUAUACUGAAGUUGUUAUCCCCCGCCAUAGGCAGAGGGAUAUUGUUUUGGCAUUUUCCGUCCGUCCGUCCGGAGCCAUAUCUUGGAAGUGCUUUAUCGGAUUUCAUUGAAACUUGGUAUGUGUAUAAAUAUGGAUAAGAGGAUGAUGCACGCCAAAUGGAAUUGUACACAAUCUGUUAAUAACGGAGUUAUGGCCCUUUGUAUCUUGAAAAAAUGCUUUUUUGUGUGUCCGGAGCCAUAUUUUGGAAGUGCUUUGGCCGAUAUCAUUGAAACUUGGUAUGAGUAUAUAUAUAUAUAUAUAUAUAUUAUAUAUAUAUGGAUAAGAGGAUGAUGCAUGUCAAAUGGUGAUGAUGAUGCAUGUACACCAUCUGUUAAUAAAGGAGUUAUUGCCCUUUUUAUCUUGGAAAAAAAUGCUUUUUUGAUUGUCAAAUAUAACACUUGUGUCCAGAAGCAUAUUGGCUGGGGGAUAUCAAUUCAACGAAUUUGCUCGUUAUAAACUCACAUUUCAAUGACAAUUUAUGAUAUCUGUUUUCCAGCUGUAUACUGUAUCAUAUGUAAAUCAUGAUUGUGUUGGUAUGCUUGUUCCUUUUUGUUUUUAAAUGCCCCAUGCUACAAAACAAAUUGAAUUGUUCAUGCUUAUAUACUUUUGCCUCAAGUAUUCUCAUAAGGUCAUUUGAAAUGAUGAAACAGUUGCUAUUUUACGAGAACAAUGAUCAGAAUAGAUCAUCUAUAAUUUUGUUGUGUAAAGAGGAUCGAUAAUUGGUUAAUUCUAACUUGUACUAAUACUCAUACCAAUAUUAAAACAUACAUUAUUCCAAAGGAUAAACCAUUCUAGAAUUUACAGAGAAAACUAUUCCUUAUAGAUUCAUCUAUAAUUUCUUUGCGUAUAGGUGGUCGUAUACAGAAAUAAUUAAACUAACAAUCAUGUUCAGGUUGCUAUUAUCAUAAAUAUAUAUAUAAACUGACAAUCAUGUUCAGAUUACUAUUAUCACAGAUACAUGCAUAUAUAUAACAAUUUUAAAAGCAAUUGAUAUAUAUGUCUCAAAAGCUAUGUCCUUUUUACGUCCCAGUCUAUACUUGGGGACAUAUUAUAUUUGCCCUGUCUGUUUGUUGGUUUGUUUGCGUCAAACUUUAACAUUGGCCAUAACUUUUGCAAUAUUGAAGAUAGCAACUUGAUAUUUGGCAUGCAUGUGUAUCUCAUGGAGCUGCACAUUUUGAGUGGUGAUAGGUCAAGGUCAUCCUUCAAGGUCAAAGGUCAAAUAUAUGGGUGGGACCUAGUGUUUCACAAACAUAUCUUGUUUAGUAUAGACUUCAACAUAUCUUGGACAAUACAAUUUAAGAGCAAUUAAGAGGUUGAUGGUUCCACCCCUUUGCUUUUCUGUUGCUGAAAUGGUGUUAGUACAUACACCAAUCAAUUGUUAUUACACCGAUUUACCCUGUUAAUUUUUUUUUGUGUGUAUGGUGUCGCUUUGCUUCAGCUUGUUUUUGUGAUACUGUAGAUGUUGUUGAGUACUGAAAGGUAAUUAGUAAGGUAUGUAAAACUUAGCUUAACACUUAUGGACAAUGUUUUUGCAUAGUUUAAAUUGUAUGUAUGUUGAGUCAUGUUAUUAAUUGCUUGCAAUAAUUUUAUAUUGUGAAUCAAUGUAUGAAAAAUAAACCUGAAUGAAAUGAAAAUCA